ensembl:lncRNA
GUUUCAUCUCACCAUCAGGCUCUUGCCUUCAGCAAGCACCGAGCUGUCCUGUGGCCGUGCAGGUCCUGCUGGCUGAGGCUGUAUUUCAGCGAGAUGGCUGCAGCGCUAUCUGCCCAGAGAUUUAGGACUCCUUGAAAGUUUUACACAGGUACUUAACUUGAGCAGGUGAUGAAUAAAAAUGAUAUAAAGAAGCAAUGAACGUUCAAUGUUUUAUAUUUAAAAUACGUUUUGUGAGGAAAACAAUGUGGCAUAGAAACAGGACUGAAAGGUUCUCCAAGAUAAUGCCAGCGACUGCAAGAUGUCAGCAGCAUUGCCAUGAAAGAGGAGUCAGAAGUAACAGCAAUAUAAGCACAUGAAAAAAACUGUUGUAAAUGGUGACCUCCUGGUGGAUGGAUGUACAGACCAGGCGGGACUGAGCUGUGAGAGAGGAGGGGUUCAGACAGCAGUGUUCCCGUGUGCUGCACGCCGACCCAACGCCAGCAGCUCUAAUCAUAAUACUUGGAAGCGAGAGCAAGAAGGAGAGGACUUGGCACUCACAGAGUUUGGAGCUCUCCAAGAUCUUUACAAAC